rnacentral:lncRNA from 1 species
GUUUUGCUGGUCGGAAUCGCUUGAAAAGUCACAUUCUUCAUUGCCAGGUUCUUCAAGCUUGAGCUGCCCACUCACAUACAACUGAAAACACGAUUUUUGGGGUUGGGUUGAGACUGGUUGGCUUAACAUACAAGUGAUACAACAGCUGAGUAUGCAUUUAGACUGAAGAAUGGGAAACAAGUACGUACUGCUGAAUAUUUUGGACUUCAUCCAUGCCAAGCAUAUUACUGCAAGUCUUCAUUGAGGACCCAUGUACUUCAAGAGGUGCUUGAUCAAUGUCAAACAUACAUGUAUUUGACCACCAAUGCACAUCAUGAUGCUUAAUGCAAUUUUACUGUCUUAGAGGAUCAAAAGAAGUAUCCUUCGACAAGAAUGAGGUGCAAAAAUGCCCACUUGUAUUGAUAGAGUAAUGCAUUUGUGCUUAAAUUCUGGAGUAGUAUCAUUUUGUAUAAGAACCUGCCUUGUAUGUAUUAAGAUCGAAUGACUUAAUAUUUUGGUGGCUGUAAGGAGCAAAUCAGUCAAAUACAAGGCAAGAUCGUGAAGAAAUUCACCAAAACCAACUGUA